rnacentral:rRNA from 1 species
UGGGGAAUAUUGGACAAUGGGCGAAAGCCUGAUCCAGCCAUGCCGCGUGAGUGAUGAAGGCCCUAGGGUUGUAAAGCUCUUUUGUGCGGGAAGAUAAUGACGGUACCGCAAGAAUAAGCCCCGGCUAACUUCGUGCCAGCAGCCGCGGUAAUACGAAGGGGGCUAGCGUUGCUCGGAAUCACUGGGCGUAAAGGGUGCGUAGGCGGGUUUCUAAGUCAGAGGUGAAAGCCUGGAGCUCAACUCCAGAACUGCCUUUGAUACUGGAAGUCUUGAGUUCGGGAGAGGUGAGUGGAACUGCGAGUGUAGAGGUGAAAUUCGUAGAUAUUCGCAAGAACACCAGUGUCGAAGGCGGCUCACUGGCCCGAUACUGACGCUGAGGCACGAAAGCGUGGGGAGCAAACA